AGAGUUUGAUCCUGGCUCAGGACGAACGCUGGCGGCGUGCUUAACACAUGCAAGUGGAGCGACGAACCAGGGCUUGCCCUGGGGCAGAGCCGCGAACGGGUGAGUAACACGUGGGUAACCUACCCCGAUGACCGGGACAACCCGAGGAAACUCGGGCUAAUACCGGAUGUUCUCGCUUCUCGUAAGGGAAUCGAGCAAAGAUAGCUUCGGCCUUCGCAUCGGGACGGGCCCGCGGCCCAUUAGCUUGUUGGUGGGGUAACGGCUCACCAAGGCUAUGACGGGUAGCUGGUCUGAGAGGACGACCAGCCACACGGGAACUGAGACACGGUCCCGACUCCUACGGGAGGCAGCAGUGGGGAAUUUUCCGCAAUGGGCGAAAGCCUGACGGAGUGACGCCGCGUGGGGGACGAAGGCCUUCGGGUUGUAAACCCCUGUCAGAGGGAAAGAAGGGUGUCGGCGCGAUAACCGCCGGCACUUGACGGUACCUUCAGAGGAAGCCCCGGCCAACUCUGUGCCAGCAGCCGCGGUAAUUCA
rnacentral:rRNA from 1 species